AGCUUUUCGAAUCCGUGCUGAGAUUUCAUCCGAUACCAAUCCAUUAGGGCUGAUCAGACUUCCAAGAUGAGUGAAGUU
rfam:Schistosoma margrebowiei strain Zambia genome assembly, scaffold: SMRZ_contig0005376